UGAAUACGAGAUGCUACGGCAUCGAAGCAGUCUAUGUCAUACUUCCAAGAAAAGCUUGCACUGUCAUAAACAAAUAAUGCCUGUACCAUAACCGACACAGGUGGGUAGGUAGAGUAUACUAAGGGGCGCGAGAUAACUCUCUCUAAGGAACUCGGCAAAAUGACUCCGUAACUUCGGGAGAAGGAGUGCCUUAUUUUAUAAGGUUGCAAUAACAAGAUCCAAGCAACUGUUUACCAAAAACACAGGUCUCCGCUAAGUCGUAAGACGAUGUAUGGGGGCUGACGCCUGCCCAGUGCCAGAAGGUUAAAGAAGUUGGUUAGCAUUAGCGAAGCUGAUAACUGAAGCCCUGGUGAACGGCGGCCGUAACAAUAACGGUCCUAAGGUAGCGAAAUUCCUUGUCGGGUAAGUUCCGACCCGCACGAAAGGCGUAAUGAUUUGGAUACUGUCUCGGAGAGGGGCUCGGUGAAAUAGACUUGUCUGUGAAGAUGCGGACUACCUGCACCAGGACAGAAAGACCCUAUGAAGCUUUAUUGUAACUUGAGAUUGAAAUUGGACUUUAUUUGCGCAGUAUAGGUGGGAGACGUUGAAAAUAUUCUUGCGGGAAUAUUGGAGUCAUCAGUGAGAUACCACUCUUAUAAUGUUAGAUUUCUAACUUUGUAUCAUUAUCUGGUCAAAGAACAGUCUCAGGCGGGCAGUUUGACUGGGGCGGUCGCCUCCCAAACGGUAACGGAGGCGCACAAAGGUUUCCUCUGAACGUGUAGAAAUCGUAUCUAGAGUGUAAAGGCAUAAGGAAGCUUGACUGUGAGACCUACAAGUCGAGCAGGGACGAAAGUCGGUCUUAGUGAUCUGACGGUGCUGAGUGGGAAGGCCGUCACUCAACGGAUAAAAGUUACUCUAAGGAUAACAGGCUGAUCUCCCCCAAGAGUUCACAUCGACGGGGAGGUUUGGCACCUCGAUGUCGGCUCAUCGCAUCCUGGGGCGGUAGUACGUCCCAAGGGUUGGGCUGUUCGCCCAUGAAAGCGGUACGCGAGCUGGGUUCAGAACGUCGUGAGACAGUUCGGUCCAUAUCCGGUGUAGGCGUUAGAAUAUUGAGAGGAGCCUUCUUUAGUACGAGAGGACCGAGAAGGACAUACCUCUGGUGUACCAGUUAUCGUGCCAACGGUAAACGCUGGGUAGCUAUGUAUGGAGAGGAUAACCGCUGAAAGCAUCUAAGUGGGAAGCCCACCUCAAGAUAAG
rnacentral:rRNA from 1 species